rnacentral:rRNA from 1 species
GACGAACGCUGGCGGCGUGCCUAAUACAUGCAAGUCGAACGCUUUUUCUUUCACCGGAGCUUGCUCCACCGAAAGAAGAAGAGUGGCGAACGGGUGAGUAACACGUGGGUAACCUGCCCAUCAGAAGGGGAUAACACUUGGAAACAGGUGCUAAUACCGUAUAACACUAUUUUCCGCAUGGAAGAAAGUUGAAAGGCGCUUUUGCGUCACUGAUGGAUGGACCCGCGGUGCAUUAGCUAGUUGGUGAGGUAACGGCUCACCAAGGCAACGAUGCAUAGCCGACCUGAGAGGGUGAUCGGCCACACUGGGACUGAGACACGGCCCAGACUCCUACGGGAGGCAGCAGUAGGGAAUCUUCGGCAAUGGACGAAAGUCUGACCGAGCAACGCCGCGUGAGUGAAGAAGGUUUUCGGAUCGUAAAACUCUGUUGUUAGAGAAGAACAAGGAUGAGAGUAGAACGUUCAUCCCUUGACGGUAUCUAACCAGAAAGCCACGGCUAACUACGUGCCAGCAGCCGCCGUAA